CCUACGGGGGGCAGCAGUAGGGAAUCUUCCACAAUGGGCGCAAGCCUGAUGGAGCAACGCCGCGUGGGUGAAGAAGGUCUUCGGAUCGUAAAACCCUGUUGUUAGAGAAGAAAGUGCGUGAGAAUAACUGUUCACGUUUCGACGGUAUCUAACCAGAAAGCCACGGCUAACUACGUGACAGCAGCCGCGGUAAUACGUAGGUGGCAAGCGUUAUCCGGAUUUAUUGGGCGUAAAGGUAACGCAGGCGGUCUUUUAAGUCUGAUGUGAAAGCCUUCGGCUUAACCGGAGUAGUGCAUUGGAAACUGGGAGACUUGAGUGCAGAAGAGGAGAGUGGAACUCCAUGUGUAGCGGUGAAAUGCGUAGAUAUAUGGAAGAACACCAGUGGCGAAAGCGGCUCUCUGGUCUGUAACUGACGCUGAGGUUCGAAAGCGUGGGUAGCAAACAGGAUUAGAUACCCGAGUAGUC
rnacentral:rRNA from 1 species